UGGGGAAUCUUGCGCAAUGGGCGAAAGCCUGACGCAGCCAUGCCGCGUGAAUGAUGAAGGUCUUAGGAUUGUAAAAUUCUUUCACCGGGGAAGAUAAUGACGGUACCCGGAGAAGAAGCCCCGGCUAACUUCGUGCCAGCAGCCGCGGUAAUACGAAGGGGGCUAGCGUUGCUCGGAAUUACUGGGCGUAAAGGGCGCGUAGGCGGACAGUUUAGUCAGAGGUAAAAGCCCAGGGCUCAACCUUGGAACUGCCUUUGAUACUGGCUGUCUUGAGUUCGGGAGAGGUGAGUGGAAUGCCGAGUGUAGAGGUGAAAUUCGUAGAUAUUCGGCGGAACACCAGUGGCGAAGGCGACUCACUGGCCCGAUACUGACGCUGAGGCGCGAAAGCGUGGGGAGCAAACA
rnacentral:rRNA from 1 species